rnacentral:lncRNA from 1 species
AGGGCUCUGCAGAUGCUAGGCCUCUUUGAAAUCCAUCUGCCCAACAGUUGCAAGCCCCAGCUGCUGCCUUGAGGCUUCAGGCGGUGGGGAGAGAAUCAAUUAUCCGACCUCAGCCGCUGCAGCCUGUGCCCCAGCCACGCCUAUGAAGCUGCGCUUAAUGUGGACCUAAGCACUCCAACAACUGCCUUUUGCCCGUGGUCCCCACCUGGCAACGCGAUAAACAUGGUCUCCGCUAUCAGGAGAGUUUAGCAACACCGGAGAUAGGGACCAGCAUGCACUGCACCUUCCGUGUCAGACGCCUUGUGCACAAGGAGGAAAGGUUUCCUGUGGCUUACUGUUCAGUGACACACAACCUAUCAAAGCAUGGUGCAGAAGAGCAGAACAAGAGGCAGCUCUGAGUGCUUGUUGGCCAGCUUUCUCUACAUAGCCCUGGCUGUCCCUGAACCCACUAUAUACAACAGGCUGACCUUGAACUCACACGCACCACCACACCCAGCCCCAUGCAAAAAGAGCCAGUCCCUACUCCAACCCCAGAAGUGGGUAGGCUGGGAAGAAGGCUUCGGCAGCAGAGUAUCGCUGCCUUCAGGAGGAGACACGGCAGCUUAGGAGGGCCAAGGAAGGCUUGCCUUCAUCCCAGGUUAUACCUAAGGUGAAGUGCUCUAGGCAUGGACCACCUGGACUUAAGGGGGUUUGGGAGGUCACCUCUUCCUUUGGCUAUGGUCUUCUUCACAAGGCUAGAGGGACAUAUUUACAGCUAUCACCUCUGACUCUAGAUAUC